ACGGGGAAUCAGGGUUCGAUUCCGGAGAGGGAGCCUGAGAAACGGCCCCCUUAUCCAAGGAAGGCAGCAGGCGCGCAAAUUACCCAAUCCACACAUUGGGAGGUAGUGACGAGAAAUACUGGGGGCGCUCCAUGUGAGUGCCAUCCGGAAUGAACGUAACCCAAAAAAUUCGAUGAGGAUCUACUGGAGGGCAAGUCUGGUGCCAGCAGCCGCGGUAAUUCCAGCUCCAGUAGUGUAUAUCAACAUUGUUGCGCUUAAAACGCUCGUAGUUGGAUUACAGGGCUUCAAACACGGCCACUUGUUUGUGGUUGUGGUCGUAGCAAGCCGGCGACCAAUGGUUGUCGGUAGCUCGAUGGAGCCCUUUUGUCGCACUGGCCCCGGUUGGCGCCUUUGUUGGUGCUGGUCGGUUGCCGGUGGAGUGUGCCUUGAAUAAAGCAUAGUGCUCAAAGCAGGCGUACGCUCGUGUGUAAUAGCAUGGAACGAAUAUAUUUUGACCGCGUCUACGUUAGCGUCGUGUUACAGCGGCGUUGCGGAGGCGUAGGUUCGAUCAGUGUUGGUUGGAACCACGGUCUCAACGGUUAAAAGGGACACCUGAGGGCACUAGUACUUUGUGGCGAGAGGUGAAAUUCUUAGACCCACAAAAGACUGACUACUGCGAAAGCAUUUGCCAAGAGUGUUUUCAUUAAUCAAGAACGAAGGUCAGAGGAUCGAAGACGAUCAGAUACCGUCCUAGUUUUGACAGCAAACUAUGCCAGCAUAGGGUCGGAGCGGUCGCUCGUUAACAGCGAGUCGGACUACUGCGGGCCUUAAGGGAAACCUAGCUUUCGGGCUGCUGGGAGAAUAUCGCUGCAAGGCUGAAAUUUAAAGAAAUUGACGGAGAGGCACCACCAGGAGUGGAGCCUGCGGCUUAAUUUGACUCAACACGGGGAAACUCACCAGGUCCAGACAUUGGUAGGAUUGACAGACUGGUAGAUCUUUCCAUGAU
rnacentral:rRNA from 1 species